rnacentral:rRNA from 1 species
UACGUAGGGUGCAAGCGUUGUCCGGAAUUAUUGGGCGUAAAGAGCUCGUAGGCGGCUUGUCACGUCUGCUGUGAAAACUCGGGGCUCAACCCCGAGCCUGCAGUGGAUACGGGCUAGCUAGAGUUCGGUAGGGGAGACUGGAAUUCCUGGUGUAGCGGUGAAAUGCGCAGAUAUCAGGAGGAACACCGGUGGCGAAGGCGGGUCUCUGGGCAGUAACUGACGCUGAGGAGCGAAAGCGUGGGGAGCGAACAGG